AACACUGGAUUGAUAGCCCUUAUUGCAAUAGGGAGGAAAGUAGUCAGCAUUACAUGACAAUCAUGUGAGUUGUAGUUGGUGAGUGUAAGGUCUUUCAUUGACCCAAUACUUCGUAUACUAGAGAAGAAUCCAGAGGGGACUUUCAAAUUCUUCAACCACUCACACAUCACAUGUUUCUCAUCUAUGCUGAGGUUGUAGCUUGCUGCUGGGAAAUGGUACUUUCCAUUUUCUUGAAGAACA
rnacentral:lncRNA from 1 species